UAGAAACUUUGUUCCACUCAUUACCAAAAGUUCUAAAACAAAAAUGGGUGGAAUUUGUUUAUAAAAAAUAGCCAAGUACGCAAUUACGAAGAAAUUUCCAUAAUCUCCACGUAGGAAAGAAGCAUUCCCUUCAGGCAGUGCCUUCAGUACAUGAUGUAGAAAAGAUGCGUCCUGGAUGAACCGGUUCAGUGGCGAUGCGCUGGUGUCUUAAACAGAACAAAGAAAUGUACAGUAAGUGAGGACACGUUGAUCCUUAAACAGACGUCUUGUGAACUGGAACUCAAAAUGCAAUUCCACUUAAAAGUCUUCUUACUUUCCCAAGCUUAUACAAGGGAAUACAAAUAAUUCCUUGUUUCUCUUCAAAGCAGUUGUUGAACUAACGAAUAAUCAUGCAAAACAUAUCAAUCAAAUUCCAAAUUCAUGUAGUAGUAAUGAUUUCUUUAGUGAUAAAAUAACAGGAAUCGGAAUAGCUUAUACACCAGAGAGAGCUGAUUGACAAUAUUGAUCUUCCUUCUAGACACAGAAUGUCAAGAACUGUUCACUCCCAUACCUCAGAGUGAACUGUUCAAAUUAAUUUCUACUUCCUGCCUAUUUAUUCUGUGUUUCUGAGUUUCUGAUAGCAUGAGACAGAUGUGUGAGAGGCUUGUAGGAAAUUGUCCUGAGAAGAUAUAAAAGGCUGAGCAGGUUUAGCUAGGUUUGUACCAAUUUUUGCUAGAGAACACAUUUUUGUGAGCACAUCCUGAGAUUAAAUUUUUGAGAACACAGAGAGUAGACAGAAAGAGAAAGAGUUUGCCCCUGCUAUCCAAUGGGGCCAGGGUAGCGAAGGUAGUAGAGAAAAGUAGCAGUGGCAGAAAAAGAGAAUGAGGGCAUGCACAACAGAGAGACAGACUGAAUCUGACUCCACCCUGUCAUCUGCAUGAAAAUCUUUUUAUCUGUGAGAUUAUAGAUCACAAGUAUGAGGUGGAGUACUUUUCUUUUUUCUUAUUAAUAUCAGUUGCACAAUCGUGAUUAUGUUUGCCCUUUAUAGUCUGAUGACAGUACCUUCCAAAAAUGUAGCAGAGGCAGAGGAAAGGAAUUUUUCCACAGUCAUUUGAAACAUAGGCCUACAUGGCUAAAUAUAUUCUCAGAUGAACUCCAAAAUGUACCUCACCCCAUACCUGCGUCUUAAAACAGUAAUAUGAAAUGUAAGUACGGUCUAGCCAUAAAACUGUUUUACUUUUUGUAGCUUCUAACAAUAGGUGUUUCCAAUUCUUGUAUUAGAACAUGGGUGGCACAGUGGUGCAGUGGCUAGAAGUUUCUUGAUUUGAAUCCUGGCCUGGGCCUUUCUGUCUAGAGUUUUCAUGUCCCCAUGUCCAUGUGGGUUCCCGUGUAAUCAGCACGUUAUUCGAUUCAGGUUUUCAGUUGCUAAUUAGGUACACUCGGAGCGAUGCUGUAUUAGUCCUGCUAACUCGCAGUUUAGGUAGUAAGUGUAUAAUUUGUCCAGGUGUGUAGAACUGCCGAAAGCCGUCCCGCUAGAGUUGGCUAAGUAACUGUGUUCAUUUGCUAAUUACAUACCACGUUAGAUUUAAACUUUUCCCUGUGUGGUAACUGUUCUUUGUGUUAGGUUGUGUUAGGUUUCUAUCUGCCGCUUUUUUAUUCUUAGAAUUGAUAGAUUGGCUACUUGGGCAUAGCGAUUGCGAUUAUUGUGUUAUUACUGACUGUGAACCUGUGUAAUCAGCGCGUUAUUCGAUUCAGGUUUUCACUUGCUAAUUAGGUACACUCGGAGCGACACUAGCAUCGCUCCCUUCUAGUUUGUGUCAGCUCCCCAUUCCAGUCUGCUCUCUCCCCUUCAGAAGGCGCUUCCAGCGACAUGGCCCCCCUCGACAACAGAACCUCUCUAACCUCUGCUACCCCCCGCUGACCCCCUGUGAGAACUUCACGGUCACAGGGGGGCUCUGGAACUGCCAGUCUGCUACGCGCAAGGCGAACUUCGUUUCCGCCUAUGCCUCCCUCCUAUCCCUCCAGUUCCCUGCCCUCACAGAGACCUGGAUCACACCAGACAACUCUGCCACUCCUGCUGCCCUCUUGUCCGCCUACUCCUUCUCCCACACCCCCCGGCGAUCUGGCCGUGGUGGUUUGCCAUCAGUACUGGUUUACUGAUCUCCCCCACUUGGAAAUUCUCUGUUCUCCCCCUCCCUGACCUGUCUAUAUCCACUUUUGAAUUCCAUCCUGUCUCUAUCACCUACCCUACUAACCUCUAUAUUGUUGUUAUUUAUCGUCCCCCGGGGCCCCUGGGAAGCUUCCUGGAUGAGCUAGACACCCUGCUUAGCUGCUUCCCUGAGGACGGCACCCUGCUGAUCCUCCUGGGAGAUUUUAACAUCCACCUACAGGCCUCCCAGUCUGCUGCCUUCCUACCACUACUCCACUCCUUCGACCUCUCCCUACAACACUCUCCCCCAACUCACAAGGGGACACCUUAGUGACAUCACCCUGUGCCAAGAAUCUCGGAGUGGUGAUGGACAACAGGUUGUCCCUCUCCAAGAACAUCGUAGCAGUAAGCCGGGCGUGCAGAUUUUUUCUGUAUAACAUCCAGAGAAUCCGCCCCUUUCUCACCACCUACUCAACCAAGCUCCUGGUCCAGGCAAUGCUACUAUCCCGCCUGGACUACUGCAACUCUCUUCUGGCUGGACUACCGGCAUCUGCCACCAGACCCCUGAAACUUAUUCAGAAUGCUGCAGCUCGUCUGGUCUUCAACCUCCCCAGACACUCCCACGUCACUCCCCUGCUCACUACCCUCCACUGGCUGCCUGUUAUAGCUUGCAUCAAAUUGGAAACAUUGGUCCUAGCAUACCAGGCAGUCAAGGGAUCAGCCCCAGCAUACUUCCACAAGAUCUUCAAACCCUACAUGCCAGCCAGACCCCUCUGUUCUGCUACCUCAGGACGCCUGGCACCUCCCCCUCUUUGCACAUGCGCUUCCCGAACACGUCUCCUGUCGGUUCUGGCCCCACGAUGGUGGAAUGACCUCCCCAUGGAGGUCAGAACAGCUGAGACACUGACCCACUUCAAGCGACGACUGAAGACUCACCUCUUCAGGCUGCACCUCUCCCCAUCCCUCCCUACCUCCCUGUAAUCUCUUAAUUGACUGUAAGCUUAGGGUUGUAACUAGGUAGCUGUUUCGUAGGUGACUUAGUUAACGCACUUGUCUUAACUACUGCUUGUAUUUUUGCAUAGACUGCGUUGUUACUGUUCUCGUUUGUGUUAGUGUUAAUCAGUUUAACCUUCAGGGUCCAAGUUGAACUGUGCGGUUGUUCUCUGCACUUGGAACGGCACUUCUCUCUAGGGUUUUCGACAUACUUGUUCCUGGUUAUGGUUAUACACUUUGUUGUACGUCGCUCUGGAUAAGAGCGUCUGCCAAAUGCCUGUAAUGUAAUGUAAUGGGUUUUCUCCGGGUACUCUGUAUUCCUCCCAAAGACCAGAGACCGUGCAGGUUAUGGCAAUUGGAGGGAGAGUGUAAAUUGCCCCUAGGUAUGAGUGUGUGAGUGAAUGGUGGGUGUGCCUUGAAAUGCUCUGACAAAUUGUCCACAGGGAUAGGCUCUUAUGUAUUUUUAAAAGGUACAGAUUGUCCCUGCUGAACAAGGGAUGUGGGUCUAUUUAUGGAACAGCUAAUGCAAAGAUAACCAGUUAAUUGUAAAUAGUUAUGUGUUUCUCAGUGUUGUAAUAUUCUUAGCAGGCUGUUUGAAAAACUGUCCAACAAUACGUUUGAAGAAAUUAAUUUAAUCUUUACACGUGGCCUGGCCUCACAUUACUCCUCCAUACGCUAUGGGAGGUUGGCAACGGAGCCAAAGGUAUUAGGGGUAGGACAGACUAGGAUUGAAAUGUGUGAAUUAUAGUCUAGCAUGCUUUUCAUGAGAAAUGGUUCCUGAUUUUGCUAUUUUUCCAGUGGUGCAAUACAAAGUGAAGCCAUGGAUGGGUGUAGUAUUGUCACCAUCCCACUCCACAACAUCACAUGUACAACUGCAUGUGGCACCAUGCACAAAUCUUAAGCAGCAGUCCCCUGAGGCUACCAAACAGUUCGUCAUCAGAUGGGCCGUUUCUGUCUCUGGUUACCUGGUUUGAUAAAGCUGCCAUUUGCCAUUCACCAAGGGAGACCAGCUUUCCUAAUUUAUUGCUCAGUACUUAUGUACAGUCAUUAUUUAGUUUGACAUUGCGUGCUUGACCCUAUUUUGUAUGUAAUGCAAAUUAGUUGGGGAAAGCUCAAGAGGUGUGUUCAACUUUGUCUUUGGAAGUGUCUUUGCCUAGUCUCUCUGUGAACUUACCUAAUUCUUCAUCAGCCCUUUGUGCUCUAGCUCCUUGAGUACUUUUUACAGUUUUUUCUUAUGUGCCCUGUUUGUUGUGCUACUCUCUAGUGUGUUUUGUCUCCUGUGAUUGAUUAGUGUAUUUUUUACCUAAAAGAAAUUAGUAAAGACUUUUUGGAUUUUGCUCCCAGGCUUCUGAGUUACCUCUGCACUUGGGUCCAAACGUCUGAUUUCCCCUUGUGACUAAAGCCCUAUUCUGACAGGAUUAUUUUACCUAAGGAUGUCCUGUAAUUGGAAUUAUUAUCUAUUACUCCUGUGAUUUUAAUCCUGUCAGAAUCUGCCUUGGCGGUAUUUUUUACCUAGAUUUCUUGGACUGGAUAACCUACUGUUUUUUAGAGGAGAAAGUUAGGAACCGAGGUAAUACUAGUCCUGUGUGAAUAGGCAUCUCAGUAAUUUAAGAAUGUAAUUAAUUUCUGGUGCACUUUUGUCCUUGUGUGGUAUAACAAUUGACUCUGUAGCAGAGUCCAAUGUCUCAUUUUCUUUUUGGAACUUCUAGCUGUCUAUUGUUGCAAAAUGUGCCGCUUUUUUAGCCACCAGAAGUCUUGAUAUCUAACAGCUGGGACAAGCUCAGUAAUUCAGGUGGGGUUAUCGUGGAUUGUUUUUACCCCGUCAGAAUGCUCCACAGGAUUUACCCACAUAAUAAACCACAAAGUAAAAAAUACAUGAUAGGACCUCCUCUGGUAAAGCGUAUCCCAUCAGAAUAGAGCUUAAAGGACUCAGAGAACACAACAUGGGCCCAGCAGUGUUCAGCCAAGUGCGCACUGCUGUCGCUAAUCAAGGUGUGACUCUUGGAAGACACAAAAGACUCAUGCAGACCCUUUCUUAGAAUCUGCAGGCCCUCUCCAGUAAAUUGAGGGACCAGCCUGCCUGCCUUCCUGCUCCAGUUCCUGAAGACUCACCUGAGCUGAGAGCCAGAAACACUCAAAGUUUUGCUCAUGAACCCAGUCUGCCACCACCUGAGUGGUAUGACUCCAAGGUGGCUGUUGUAAUCCUCCCUACUGUCCGGCAGAGCACUUGCCUGGGCCACUGCUCUGUGUGAGAGAGCAUCCCUGUGUUUUCCUGCAUUCAACCUUUUGCAGAAGAUAUGAGCAAAGAUUUUGAACUGCACAGCACAGGGCUAGCAGGACAGAAACCGACCGCUAGUUGGGCCUCUAGUUUCAUAGAGACUGUUGCUUUUAUUGACUCUGGGGCUGCGGGUAAUUUUAUGGACUGCGGAUUUGCACAGAAAAACCAUGUGCGUGUUUUUACCCUCUCUGUGCCUAUUUGUGUUAGAGCCUUGGAUGGACAACCCCUGGGGUCGGGCUGCAUCUUCCACUGCAUGGACACAUACAUCUGGACCUGAUGGAGGGGACACUCAGAGUGCAUCCAGUUCCACCUCAUUAAUUCUGAGCUGCCGAUAUUGCUUGGUCAUCCUUGGCUGGUACACCAUAACCCUGCCAUUGACUGGCUUAGAGGCAGUAUUAAGGACUGGGGGUGCGAAUAUCAGGCUGGUGUCUGGUGGUGCCAUGUGUGCUGUUUCUGCCCCUGACUCUGUUGGAGAGCCCCCUAGGGAUUGGGUGGAGGAUUCAGACCUGUUUGGGGUACUGUAGGAAUACUGGGACCUGAAAGAUGGUAUUCAGUAAGAGCGUCGGCACCGUGCUUCCUCCUCAUAGACUACUGAGGACGGAGUGUAGCACAGUGGGUAAGGAACUGGGCUUGUAACCGAAAGGUCGCAGGUUCGAUUCCCAGGUAGGACACUGCCGUUGUACCCUUGAGCAAGGUACUUAACCGAAAUUGCUUCAGUAUAUAUCCAGCUGUAUAAAUGGAUACAAUGUAAAAAAAAAAAUGCUAUGUAAAAGUUGUGUAAGUCGCUCUGGAUAAGAGCGUCUGCUAAAUACCUGUAAUGUAAUGUAACUUGACUGUGCCAUCAACCUUCCAGAGUCAGUUCUGCCUCGAGGACGCAUAUUCUUUCUGUCCCUUCUCGAGAUGCAGACCAUGGAGACUCUACUCCUGUGGGUGUGGGUUUUUUCUUUUGCUGGUGGUCUUAGACUUUGCAUAGAUUAUAGGGGGCUAAACAAAAAUAACAUAAAGAACUAAUACCCCAAACCACUAAUCUCUUCCUUUUUCAAAUCUCUGCAAGAAGCCCAGGGUUUUUCCAAAAUAGACCUCAGAAAUGCCUAUCAUCUGGUUCAUAUAGGGGAAGAUCGCCUUCAACACUCACCAUGGGCACUAAGAAUACCAGGUGAUACCGUUUGGCUUACAGUGUGCUCUGUGAGUACCGCAACUGGUUUUUGUUUGUCUAUUUUGAUGACAUCCCAACAUUCACCAAAGACCCCAAAGAACA